GAUCUGAUAGUGUAAUGGUAACACACCUGCUUUGCAUCGGACAUAACUCGAGAAGUUUGGUGGGGGUUCCUUGUUCGACUCAAGGCCAGGCCA